rnacentral:lncRNA from 1 species
UACUGGUAUAUGAUGUGGACAGCUGUCGUCCAGUGAGAUUCAGGCUGGUUUCUGGCUGUGAGGGCAUAAUUGAAUUCCCUGUCUCCUGCAGGUUAGAACUCUACAAGGUUCUACUGCAGGUUGGAGCCACCCUUCCUCUGUAGCAGGUGGUAGGAGGUAUUGGUCCCAGCAACUCACCAAUUGCUGUGGUCUACUCUGUCUUCACUCUCUCCAUGGGCUUUAAUUUCAACAAAACCAAGCCUUGCAGAGGUCCUUUCUCUGACGCUCACCGGGUACCACCUUCCUGAGUUCAUAGCAAUGGCUCUCUGGCCCCAGGUGCCUCUGUGUGGCAUGGAGGUAAAAAUGAAACGGGCACAUGGGACCAUAUGGAGCUACAGGGGAUGGGACUUGGAUCCACUCCGUAGAGAAUGGAGAAGAGUAAAGUCAAAGAAUUUCUCCCAAUGAAACUAACUGAAUCUUAAGAGGUAAGUUUACUGGGUAGGAAAAAUAAUCAGAAAAUGUUUUCAAGAAGAGUGAAAUCUCUCCAAAAGCAGAUACCCAUGUCAAAAUUUGUAUUUUGGUGGAAUAAGAAUUUUGUAAGGCAUAUAUGUAUAUAUUAAAUAUUAUGUAGCUAUAUUAAAGUCAUUUCUUUACACUGUCAACUUUAAUGUAGUCUUAUGCUGUCAUAUUUAUAAUUAAGAAACUUAAGCACACUCCCCCA